AUCCUCUUCUGUCCUGUUUGAUCUGAGUUCUACCGAUUUGUGUAGCGUGUUGGCUACUUUUCGACUUUUAUGCUCUUGUUCGCCCUAAAUUUCAAAGAGUAAACAGCAUGUCUGUGGCGUUUGCACCUCACAGGCAGCGUGGGAAGGGUGAUAUAACUCCCGCUGGAAUACAAAAGUUACUUGACGAAAACAACCAGCUCAUCCAGUGUAUUAUGGACUUCCAGAGUAAAGGAAAAACAGCAGAAUGUUCACAUUAUCAACAGAUGCUGCAUCGAAAUUUAGUGUACCUUGCCACGAUAGCAGACUCCAAUCAGAACAUGCAGUCCCUCCUCCCUGCUCCUCCCACUCAAAACAUGCCCAUGGGCCCUGGUGGGAUGAACCAAAGUGGGCCCCCUCCUCAGCCUCCUCACGCUCACAACAUGCCCUCUGAGGGUAUGGUCAGCGGUGGCCCUCCAGCUCCACACAUGCAGAACCAGAUGAAUGGACAGAUGCCUGGUCCUAAUCAUAUGCCCAUGCAAGGUCCCGGCCCCGGCCCCAACCAGCCUCCCAACAUGCCCAGUGGCUCCAUGAAUAUCCCUCCUAGCAGCCAUGGCUCCAUGGGUGGCUACAACCACACCGUUCCUUCCUCCCAGGGCAUGCCAGCUCAGAGCCAAAUGAACAUGACCCAGGGCCAGCCGAUGGGAAACUAUGGACCUCGACCAAACAUGAAUAUGCAGCCCAAUCAAGGCCCUAUGAUGCACCAGCAGCCUCCCGCCCAGCAGUAUAACAUGCCUCCAGGUGGUGGCGGGCAGCACUACCAAGGACAACAGAACCCGAUGGGCAUGAUGGGUCAGGUCAACCAAGGAAACCACGUCAUGGGUCAGAGGCCAAUGCCGCCCUACAGACCUCCACAGCAAGGUAAUGCCCAGUAUGGCCAACAGCAAGAAGCAUACCAGCAAGGCCCUCCCCAGCAGCAGGGCUACCCUCCUCAGCAGCAGUACCCGGGUCAGCAGGGCUACCCACCACAGCAGCAGGGCUACGGUCCCUCCCAAACUGGCCCAGGACAGUACCCUAACUACCCUCAGGGGCAGGGGCAGCAGUACGGGGGCUAUCGCCCUCCUCAACCCGGACCCCCACAAGCCCAGCAGCAACGCCCUUACGGUUACGACCAGGUGAGUAUAACCAAAACAUAGAACGGUCACAGAGACUUGUCGAUGAAUUCUUCUUAGUUUUCCUUUAUUGUAUUUAUUGCCAGAGCUAGUUGUGUAUUUUGUGUACCAGUGUUAGAACAUAAACAUUUAAAGGUGGCAUAGUAUGCAUGCUGUCAUCAUAUUGGGGGUUAAUUCUGUUCUUCCAAAUGGCUGUAUGUGUUGUGAUUGUCUCUCAUUGUUAAUUUAGAUCUUACUUAAAUAUAUCCGGGCUGAUGUGGAAUGCCGAAUCAGUGAAAUAUGAGGGCUUUAAGAGGAUUCUUCCUUUAACAUGGUCCAGACUGCUCUCGUGUUUAAAGGGAGAUCUAUUUGUUGCCCUGUAUUUCCUGUGGUCUUUUGUGGGGACCACAGCUACACUUUGAUAUCUUUAUCUUUGAACAUUCAGGGGCACAUGAGGAAAUAAAGACCCGGGGAUUUGAACCCCCUGACUAGCUCUGUAAGAAGCAAAGGGCCAGUAUGGAAAUUACCAGCAAUGAGAGAUGGUCACAGCAACCCACACAGCUCUGCUCUGAUCUCUGUUGAGCUUUGACAUCUGGUCAACUGCUAAGCAGACUUAAAUGAUGGCCGUAGCUCCCUGAGAUCCUCUCAGACACGAACACACAACACCCGAAAAUACAAGAUACAUUCUCCCCUGUCUUUGGGCUCUGAUUUUGGCCUAUAAAAAAAUGUAUUCAGUAUAACAUCAAAAUGGGCUUGAUAAUGUCAAAGUUUAUGACUCUCCCUCUGGUCCAGUAUGUCUCAAAGCAGCAAUGCCUUAAAAAUGGAACUGCCUUAUCCUUUAGCAUUGCAGAUUGUGAAAUGGGAUAACAAAAUUUUGGAUAUCAGAGAAGAUUUAACUGUACAGUUUCAAUCUACUGUGGUGCAUUGUUUCUCUAUCCUUCAGCUCCUUGGUCAUAAGAAGCAAUAAUGCCAGCAGUAGGUCAAUGUGUAGGAGCGGGGAGAUAAAAUAAUGCACCAGUUGAACUUCCCACUAGGCCAUGGUACAUGUCUUGAUGUAUGUGAUGAUGUAAAAAUAUAUUUUAUGCUUUUUAGAUCAAGCUAACUUUGUAUCAGACAUUGGAAACUAGUACUAAAGCUGUGUUGUUUAUUUCAUGAAGUGUAUGUGUCAAUGUUUUUUUUUAUGAUCCCAUCCAGCACGUUUUUUCUUUUUCUUUGUUGUUUUAAAGAAAUUUUGUCUCUGUGCUAAGAUGUGUAAAAAAAAAAACAACAAAUUUUGAUCAGUAAUAGAUUUUUUCCACCCAAAAUUGCUGAAAAAUGUGUGCCCACAGGCCUGGACACACGUGAAAAGAGACUGUAUGUAGCUAAUGCCACCUCAAAGUGUUAGUUUCUACAUGGUGAAGCCUUCUCUUUCUGUACAAGCAUCUCACUCUUGUCCAUUGAUUGCAAAUUUGUGAAUGGGAUGGAUCAAACAUGGUAUAAAAAACAUUUCUUACAAGUCCUUUGUUUUGUUAGUCUUGACAAUGCUGGAACCCCUCUUCCCUCUUUGAAUAAACGUCUAAGUUGAUGUCAUUCAAAUAGUGUUGUGUGUGUGUGAAUAAUUGUUACUGUCAAAUAUGUAACAUAAGAUGUGAAAAUAAUGUUCUGAAAUUGAUUCCUUAAUUUCACAGUAAAGACUGGUUGUGCAGUUUUA